rnacentral:rRNA from 1 species
GAUGAACGCUGGCGGCGUGCCUAAUACAUGCAAGUCGAGCGAACAGACGAGGAGCUUGCUCCUCUGACGUUAGCGGCGGACGUGUGAGUAACACGUGGAUAACCUACCUAUAAGACUGGGAUAACUUCGGGAAACCGGAGCUAAUACCGGAUAAUAUAUUGAACCGCAUGGUUCAAUAGUGAAAGACGGUUUUGCUGUCACUUAUAGAUGGUUCCGCGCCGCAUUAGCUAGUUGGUAAGGUAACGGCUUACCAAGGCAACGAUGCGUAGCCGACCUGAGAGGGUGAUCGGCCACACUGGAACUGAGACACGGUCCAGAGUCCUACGGGAGGCAGCAGUAGGGAAUCUUCCGCAAUGGGCGAAAGCCUGACGGAGCAACGCCGCGUGAGUGAUGAAGGUCUUCGGAUCGUAAAACUCUGUUAUUAGGGAAGAACAAAUGUGUAAGUAACUAUGCACGUAUUGACGGUACCUAAUCAGAAAGCCACGGCUAACUACGUG